rnacentral:lncRNA from 1 species
GUGUUGAGAAAGUGUAUAGAAAUCUCUCUAAAACCCUCUAAGAAGUGAAAAUCUGGAGCAAGGAAGCAAGGAGACCGCUUGGCGAGACUCAAAGGGGCAAGAAAAAGUGAGGAAGUCUUGAAAAUACCUAGCUUUUAAAGAGCUCGGGUUUUUGUCCGCCGCCACCGCCCGGCGGCAAAGUGGUACCGCCCGGCGGUGGCUUAAAAUUUUCCUCCCCCC